rnacentral:rRNA from 1 species
CCUUGCUUGCAGGUAAGCGGUUAGUGGCGGACUGGUGAGUAACACGUAAGAAAUCUGCCUAUCAGAGGGGAAUAACAGUGAGAAAUCACUGCUAAUACCGCAUAUGCCAUAAUUAUCGCAUGAUAGUAGUGGGAAAGAAGUAAUUCGCUGAUAGAUGAGCUUGCGGCUGAUUAGCUAGUUGGUGGGGUAAAGGCCUACCAAGGCGACGAUCAGUAGCCGGACUGAGAGGUUGAACGGCCACAUUGGGACUGAGAUACGGCCCAGACUCCUACGGGAGGCAGCAGUCGGGAAUAUUGCGCAAUGGAGGCAACUCUGACGCAGUAACGCCGCGUAUAGGAAGAAGGUUUUCGGAUUGUAAACUAUUGUCCACAGGGAAGAAAAGGACUGUACCUGUGAAGAAAGCUCCGGCUAACUACGUGCCAGCAGCCGCGGUAAUACGUAGGGAGCAAGCGUUAUCCGGAAUUAUUGGGUGUGAAGGGUGCGUAGACGGGAUAACAAGUUGGUUGUGAAAACCCUCGGCUCAACUGAGGACUUGCAACUAAAACUAUUAUUCUUGAGUGCAGGAGGGGAAAGUGGAAUUCCUAGUGUAGCGGUGAAAUGCGUAGAUAUUAGGAAGAACACCAGUGGCGAAGGCGACUUUCUGGACUGUAACUGACGUUGAGGCACGAAAGUGUGGGGAGCAAACAGGAUUAGAUACCCUGGUAGUCCACACUGUAAACGAUGGAUACUAGGUGUAGGAGGUAUUAAGCCUUCUGUGCCGUCGCAAACGCAGUAAGUA